CCUACAGGUGGCAGCAGUGGGGAAUAUUGGACAAUGGGCGAAAGCCUGAUCCAGCCAUGCCGCGUGUGUGAAGAAGGCCUUCGGGUUGUAAAGCACUUUCAGUGGGGAAGAAAGCCUUGGGGCUAAUACCCUCGAGGAAGGACAUCACCCACAGAAGAAGCACCGGCUAACUCCGUGCCAGCAGCCGCGGUAAUACGGAGGGUGCGAGUGUUAAUCGGAAUUACUGGGCGUAAAGCGCGCGUAGGCGGUCUGAUAAGCCGGUUGUGAAAGCCCCGGGCUCAACCUGGGAACGGCAUCCGGAACUGUCAGGCUAGAGUGCAGGAGAGGAAGGUAGAAUUCCCGGUGUAGCGGUGAAAUGCGUAGAGAUCGGGAGGAAUACCAGUGGCGAAGGCGGCCUUCUGGACUGACACUGACGCUGAGGUGCGAAAGCGUGGGUAGCAAACAGGAUUAGAUACCCGUGUAGUC
rnacentral:rRNA from 1 species